GUCCACGCCGUAAACGAUGAGAACUAGAUGUCGCGGGUGUUGACCCCUGCGGUGUCGCAGCUAACGCAUUAAGUUCUCCGCCUGGGAAGUACGGUCGCAAGAUUAAAACUCAAAGGAAUUGACGGGGGCCUGCACAAGCGGUGGAGUAUGUGGCUCAAUUCGAUGCAACGCGAAGAACCUUACCUGGCCUUGACAUGUACGUAGUAGAAGGGUGAAAGCCUGACGAGGUAGCAAUACCAGCGUACACAGGUGCUGCAUGGCUGUCGU
rnacentral:rRNA from 1 species